AUUGAACGCUGGCGGCAUGCUUUACACAUGCAAGUCGAACGGUAACAGGGUGCUUGCACCGCUGACGAGUGGCGAACGGGUGAGUAAUGCGUCGGAACGUGCCGAGUAGUGGGGGAUAACGCAGCGAAAGUUGUGCUAAUACCGCAUACGUACUGAGGUAGAAAGUGGGGGACCUUCGGGCCUCACGCUAUUCGAGCGGCCGACGUCUGAUUAGCUAGUAGGUGAGGUAAAGGCUCACCUAGGCGACGAUCAGUAGCGGGUCUGAGAGGAUGAUCCGCCACACUGGGACGGAGACACGGCCCAGAAUCCUACGGGAGGCGGCAGUGGGGAAUUUUGGACAAUGGGCGAAAGCCUGAUCCAGCCAUGCCGCGUGUCUGAAGAAGGCCUUCGGGUUGUAAAGGACUUUUGUCGGGGAGGAAAUCCCCAGCGUUAAUACCGCUGGGGGAUGACAGUACCUGAAGAAUAAGCACCGGCUAACUACGUGCCAGCAGCCGCCGUAACAC
rnacentral:rRNA from 1 species